rnacentral:rRNA from 1 species
GGGUUGUGAGGUUAAGCGACUAAGCGUACACGGUGGAUGCCCUGGCAGUCAGAGGCGAUGAAGGGCGUGCUAAUCUGCGAUAAGCGCCGGUAAGGUGAUAUGAACCGUUAUAACCGGCGAUUUCCGAAUGGGGAAACCCAGUGUGAUUCGUCACACUAUCAUUAACUGAAUCCAUAGGUUAAUGAGGCGAACCGGGGGAACUGAAACAUCUAAGUACCCCGAGGAAAAGAAAUCAACCGAGAUUCCCCCAGUAGCGGCGAGCGAACGGGGAGGAGCCCAGAGCCUGAAUCAGCAUGUGUGUUAGUGGAAGCGUCUGGAAAGGCGCGCGAUACAGGGUGACAGCCCCGUACACAAAAGCGCAUGUGCUGUGAGCUCGAUGAGUAGGGCGGGACACGUGGUAUCCUGUCUGAAUAUGGGGGGACCAUCCUCCAAGGCUAAAUACUCCUGACUGACCGAUAGUGAACCAGUACCGUGAGGGAAAGGCGAAAAGAACCCCGGCGAGGGGAGUGAAAAAGAACCUGAAACCGUGUACGUACAAGCAGUGGGAGCACCCUUCGGGGUGUGACUGCGUACCUUUUGUAUAAUGGGUCAGCGACUUAUAUUCUGUAGCAAGGUUAACCGUAUAGGGGAGCCGGAGGGAAACCGAGUCUUAACCGGGCGUUAAGUUGCAGGGUAUAGACCCGAAACCCGGUGAUCUAGCCAUGGGCAGGUUGAAGGUUGGGUAACACUAACUGGAGGACCGAACCGACUAAUGUUGAAAAAUUAGCGGAUGACCUGUGGCUGGGGGUGAAAGGCCAAUCAAACCGGGAGAUAGCUGGUUCUCCCCGAAAGCUAUUUAGGUAGCGCCUCGUGAAUUCAUCUCCGGGGGUAGAGCACUGUUUCGGCUAGGGGGCCAUCCCGGCUUACCAACCCGAUGCAAACUGCGAAUACCGGAGAAUGUUAUCACGGGAGACACACGGCGGGUGCUAACGUCCGUCGUGAAGAGGGAAACAACCCAGACCGCCAGCUAAGGUCCCAAAGUCAUGGUUAAGUGGGAAACGAUGUGGGAAGGCCCAGACAGCCAGGAUGUUGGCUUAGAAGCAGCCAUCAUUUAAAGAAAGCGUAAUAGCUCACUGGUCGAGUCGGCCUGCGCGGAAGAUGUAACGGGGCUAAACCAUGCACCGAAGCUGCGGCAGCGAACGUAUCACCCAAGACAACUUUACGGAGUUGACGAUUGACGGAGCGAAGCGACGUCAAAGCGUUCAUUAAAGUCGAGUUGGCUUAGGGAUACGUUCGUUGGGUAGGGGAGCGUUCUGUAAGCCUGUGAAGGUGUGUCGUGAGGCAUGCUGGAGGUAUCAGAAGUGCGAAUGCUGACAUAAGUAACGAUAAAGCGGGUGAAAAGCCCGCUCGCCGGAAGACCAAGGGUUCCUGUCCAACGUUAAUCGGGGCAGGGUGAGUCGACCCCUAAGGCGAGGCCGAAAGGCGUAGUCGAUGGGAAACGGGUUAAUAUUCCCGUACUUGGUGUUACUGCGAAGGGGGGACGGAGAAGGCUAUGUUGGCCGGGCGACGGUUGUCCCGGUUUAAGCGUGUAGGUGUGUGUUCCAGGUAAAUCCGGUUCACUUUAACACUGAGGCGUGACGACGAGGCACUACGGUGCUGAAGCAACAAAUGCCCUGCUUCCAGGAAAAGCCUCUAAGCAUCAGGUAACACGAAAUCGUACCCCAAACCGACACAGGUGGUCAGGUAGAGAAUACCAAGGCGCUUGAGAGAACUCGGGUGAAGGAACUAGGCAAAAUGGUGCCGUAACUUCGGGAGAAGGCACGCUGACACGUAGGUGAAGUGAUUUACUCAUGGAGCUGAAGUCAGUCGAAGAUACCAGCUGGCUGCAACUGUUUAUUAAAAACACAGCACUGUGCAAACACGAAAGUGGACGUAUACGGUGUGACGCCUGCCCGGUGCCGGAAGGUUAAUUGAUGGGGUCAGCGCAAGCGAAGCUCCUGAUCGAAGCCCCGGUAAACGGCGGCCGUAACUAUAACGGUCCUAAGGUAGCGAAAUUCCUUGUCGGGUAAGUUCCGACCUGCACGAAUGGCGUAAUGAUGGCCAGGCUGUCUCCACCCGAGACUCAGUGAAAUUGAACUCGCUGUGAAGAUGCAGUGUACCCGCGGCAAGACGGAAAGACCCCGUGAACCUUUACUAUAGCUUGACACUGAACAUUGAGCCUUGAUGUGUAGGAUAGGUGGGAGGCUUUGAAGUGUGGACGCCAGUCUGCAUGGAGCCGACCUUGAAAUACCACCCUUUAAUGUUUGAUGUUCUAACGUGGACCCGUAAUCCGGGUUGCGGACAGUGUCUGGUGGGUAGUUUGACUGGGGCGGUCUCCUCCUAAAGAGUAACGGAGGAGCACGAAGGUUGGCUAAUCCUGGUCGGACAUCAGGAGGUUAGUGCAAUGGCAUAAGCCAGCUUGACUGCGAGCGUGACGGCGCGAGCAGGUGCGAAAGCAGGUCAUAGUGAUCCGGUGGUUCUGAAUGGAAGGGCCAUCGCUCAACGGAUAAAAGGUACUCCGGGGAUAACAGGCUGAUACCGCCCAAGAGUUCAUAUCGACGGCGGUGUUUGGCACCUCGAUGUCGGCUCAUCACAUCCUGGGGCUGAAGUAGGUCCCAAGGGUAUGGCUGUUCGCCAUUUAAAGUGGUACGCGAGCUGGGUUUAGAACGUCGUGAGACAGUUCGGUCCCUAUCUGCCGUGGGCGCUGGAGAACUGAGGGGGGCUGCUCCUAGUACGAGAGGACCGGAGUGGACGCAUCACUGGUGUUCGGGUUGUCAUGCCAAUGGCACUGCCCGGUAGCUAAAUGCGGAAGAGAUAAGUGCUGAAAGCAUCUAAGCACGAAACUUGCCCCGAGAUGAGUUCUCCCUGAGACUUAGAGUCUCCUGAAGGAACGUUGAAGACGACGACGUUGAUAGGCCGGGUGUGUAAGCGCAGCGAUGCGUUGAGCUAACCGGUACUAAUGAACCGUGAGGCUUAACCUUACAACGCCGAAG